CACGUAGGCGGAUGUGUCAGUCAGGGGUGAAAUCCCGGAGCUCAACUUCGGAACUGCCUUUGAUACAGCACAUCUGGAGUCCGGAAGAGGUGGGUGGAAUUCCUAGUGUAGAGGUGAAAUUCGUAGAUAUUAGGAAGAACACCGGUGGCGAAGGCGGCCCACUGGUCCGGUACUGACGCUGAGGUGCGAAAGCGUGGGGAGCAAACA
rnacentral:rRNA from 1 species